rnacentral:rRNA from 1 species
CCUACGGGCGGCAGCAGUGGGGAAUAUUGGACAAUGGGCGAAAGCCUGAUCCAGCCAUGCCGCGUGUGUGAAGAAGGCCUUCGGGUUGUAAAGCACUUUCAGUGGGGAAGAAAGCCUUGGGGCUAAUACCCUCGAGGAAGGACAUCACCCACAGAAGAAGCACCGGCUAACUCCGUGCCAGCAGCCGCGGUAAUACGGAGGGUGCGAGCGUUAAUCGGAAUUACUGGGCGUAAAGCGCGCGUAGGCGGUCUGAUAAGCCGGUUGUGAAAGCCCCGGGCUCAACCUGGGAACGGCAUCCGGAACUGUCAGGCUAGAGUGUAGGAGAGGAAGGUAGAAUUCCCGGUGUAGCGGUGAAAUGCGUAGAGAUCGGGAGGAAUACCAGUGGCGAAGGCGGCCUUCUGGACUGACACUGACGCUGAGGUGCGAAAGCGUGGGUAGCAAACAGGAUUAGAUACCCCAGUAGUC